rnacentral:rRNA from 1 species
GAUGAACGCUGGCGGCGUGCCUAAUACAUGCAAGUCGAGCGAAUGGAUUAAGAGCUUGCUCUUAUGAAGUUAGCGGCGGACGGGUGAGUAACACGUGGGUAACCUGCCCAUAAGACUGGGAUAACUCCGGGAAACCGGGGCUAAUACCGGAUAACAUUUUGAACCGCAUGGUUCGAAAUUGAAAGGCGGCUUCGGCUGUCACUUAUGGAUGGACCCGCGUCGCAUUAGCUAGUUGGUGAGGUAACGGCUCACCAAGGCAACGAUGCGUAGCCGACCUGAGAGGGUGAGCGGCCAAACUGGGACUGAGAGACGGCCCAGACUCCUACGGGAGGCAGCAGUAGGGACUCUUCCGCAAUGGACGAAAGUCUGACGGAGCAACGCCGCGUGAGUGAUGAAGGCUUUCGGGUCGUAAAACUCUGUUGUUAGGGAAGAACAAGUGCUAGUUGAAUAAGCUGGCACCUUGACGGUACCUAACCAGAAAGCCACGGCUAACUACGUGCCAGCCGCCGCAGUAA